rnacentral:misc_RNA from 1 species
GAGAAUGGGAGAAAGUGAUGGAAUCUGGGCUUGGACACGUUUCAAUCAACUUUUUAACUAUCUUCCACUGGCUGCUCUCAUCGAAAAGAAAAUCAUCUGCAUGCAUGGUGGCAUAGGGAGGUCAAUAAAUUCAGUUGAGCAGAUAGAGAAGAUAGAGAGGCCAAUAACAAUGGAUGCUGGUUCGAUAAUCCUAAUGGAUUUGCUAUGGUCUGAUCCCACAG